rnacentral:rRNA from 1 species
UACAGAGGUCCCGAGCGUUGUUCGGAUUCACUGGGCGUAAAGGGUGCGUAGGUGGUGAGGUAAGUUUGUGGUGAAAGCUCCGGGCCUAACCCGGAAAAUGCCUCGAAUACUAUCUUGCUAGAGGGUUGUAGGGGAGACUGGAAUUCUCGGUGUAGCAGUGAAAUGCGUAGAUAUCGGGAGGAACAUCUGUGGCGAAGGCGGCACCCUGGACCAGCACUGACACUGAGGCACGAAAGCGUGGGGAGCAAACAGG